GAUUUAGGCUCUCGUUUUGAGGUCCGACCACUUUCAUUUCCUUACACUGUGCACAUACUUCUUUUCACACUUUUAACACAUUAGUAUAAGAAUGUAACAGUCUCUUAAUUGAGCAUAAAUAAAAAUAAAACUUUCAGCAACGGAUCCUUGGCUCUCGCAUCGAUGAAGAACGCAGCGAAUUGCGAUAAGUAAUGUGAAUUGCAGAAUUCAGUGAAUCAUCGAAUCUUUGAACGCCCUUGCCUCUUUGGUAUUCCGAAGAGAUGUCUGUUUGAGUGUCAUGAAACUCUCAACCCCCCUAUUUUGUAAUGAGAUGGGUGGGGCUUGAUUAUGGUGUUGUCGGGUAAUUGCCGGCUCAACUGAAAUACACGAGCAACCCCUUUGAAAUAGACGGUUUGACUCGGCGUAAUAAUUAUUUCGCUGAGGACGUCUUCUUCAAAGUAAGCGGUGCUUCUAAUGCGCUUUUAAAGCAUCUUAAGCUU
rnacentral:sRNA from 1 species